rnacentral:sRNA from 1 species
UCACAGCAGUCUGAGCUUACCUGUUUUGUCUUUCCCUACCCCUACCUUGCCCACCAGUGAUCGAUGGCCUGGAUUUGCUGAAGAAGGAACACCCAGGGGCCCGGGAUGGGAUUCGGUACCUGGAGGCAGAGUUUAAAAAAGGAAACAGGUACAUUCGCUGCCAGAAAGAGGUGGGAAAGAGCUUUGAGCGGCAUAAGCUGAAGAGGCAGGAUGCAGAUGCCUGGUAACAUUUUAGCCCUCACCCCUAGAACCUCAGGCCACCUGCCUUGCUCCUUCACGAGCAUUCCUAGGGAGAACGGGUAGGGCUGGAGAAUUCUGAGGCUCCACACGUAGCCUGCCAGGGCCCUCCUGCAGGCCUCACCUUGCGGGGAGUACGAAGUUGCUGCAGCCCCUGAGCUUUUCCUCUGCAGAUGGGUCAGCCUCUUUGGGCCUUGCGAUGCUCACGCUUGGUGUUUUCCCUCAGUGUACCUUUGCCUGCUCCCCAUAGUGUCUCCAGGGCCCACUGCUGCUCGCUGCCCUCCCAGCCCCCAGCUGC